AAUCAACGCUGGCGGCGUGCCUCAGACAUGCAAGUCGAACGAUUAAAGCUCUCUUCGGAGAGUGUAUAGAGUGGCGCACGGGUGAGUAACACGUAAGUAAUCUACCUUUGAGUGGGGAAUAACCCGGGGAAACCCGAGCUAAUACCGCAUAAUGCAGCGGCACCGCAAGGUGACAGUUGUUAAAGGAGCAAUCCGCUUAAAGAGGAGCUUGCGGCAGAUUAGCUAGNGGUAAGGUAAUGGCUUACCAAGGCUUCGAUCUGUAUCCGGCCUGAGAGGGCGGUCGGACACACUGACACUGAAUAACGGGUCAGACUCCUACGGGAGGCAGCAGUCGGGAAUUUUGGGCAAUGGGCGAAAGCCUGACCCAGCAACGCCGCGUGAAGGAUGAAGUAUUUCGGUAUGUAAACUUCGAAAGAAUGGGAAGAAUCAAUGACGGUACCAUUUAUAAGGUCCGGCUAACUACGUGCCAGCCGCCG
rnacentral:rRNA from 1 species